ACGAACGCUGGCGGCGCGCUUAACACAUGCAAGUCGAACGUGAAGCCCGGGCUUGCUCGGGUGGAAAGUGGCGAACGGGUGAGGAACACGUGAGGAACCUGCCCCGAAGACCAGGACAAGCCGAGGAAACUUGGUCUAAUACUGGAUGUCUUCAUCGAAUCGCAUGGUUUGAUGAAGAAAUGAAUUUUGCUUCGGGAUGGCCUCGCGGCCUAUCAGCUUGUUGGUGGGGUAACGGCCUACCAAGGCGACGACGGGUAGCUG
rnacentral:rRNA from 1 species